GUCAAAGAUGGCCGCCUACAUGGACGAUGCACGGUGUUCAUGUACACGUACGUCAUUCAUCGACAUUGUUACUUUGUAAAUAGGGUCUUUCCCGGAAAUUUUCCUGGAUUCCCAAAUCGUUUGCUAUCUGAGUGUGUCAAAAAACCAAACUGAAUAAUUUUAUGCGGUGAACUUAGUGUCCCUAGGCUCUUGGCCUGCGUUGUACAGUCCUGACAUUGUGUUCUUCCAUGCAUUGACAGUGUCGGUGUAUUUUGUAGGGCUAAGUCGUCCGUGUGCGUGCAUCUCUUCAGGUGGGAUUAAUUUGAUAUCACUUUUAUCAGCUGCUGGUACCUGCUGGUCUCCUGGUAUGAACAGUUUGUACACGUUUGAAGCAGAUGAUAAGAUUUUGUUUUGAUCUUCGGGUCAAAAAAGGAAAUAGAACAUAGGAUACUUAAACCGAGGAAUUCCAGCCGAGACAUUGCUCAUGGCAGAAGGUGGUGGUGGGGAUGGGGACUCCCCAAUGGAUGGUCAUGACGAAGUGGACGAUGGUGCCCGGCGCUUCCGGACCCAACACAGUUACCACGAGGUUAGCGAGCAGGCCACCGUCCUGCUGCGCCACUUCAUCGUGGACCGCUUCGAGCGGGACUCGGUGCCGGGCGCACCCCGCCUGGAGGACCUGGGCCAGGCCACACCCGAACAGGAGGAGGUGUGGCGGCGGGUAGGCACCACCCUGCGAGAGAUCGGGGACAUCCUGGACCAGGACCGGGAACUCCAGAGGUGGAUCAACUCAUUACCCACUGAUUCCCCAAUAGAGAAGAUCAUCGCUGUCGCGCAGGUGAUAUUCGGGGACGGUGAGAUCCACUGGGGUCGCAUCAUCGGCCUGUUCUACUUUGCCUACCGCAUAUCAGUCAGGGCCAUGGAGAGCCUUCUCUUACAAAAUUUCCCUGGCUGGGUCAACCAGCUCAUCAAGGAGAUAGUCCAGUUCCUGGUCAGACGGUUUGCUGAUUGGAUCAUCAACAGGGGAGGCUGGACUGCCAUCAAGGAGUACUUUGGAUCAUCGAAUAGGGUGUUCCGGACAAUCAUGAUUUUGUCGCUCCUCACACUAGGCUACGGCAUCUACAAACUGAACAAGGAAUAGCAGUGCCUGGCCAAAAUCUACAUCGGAAAAAAUUGUGUCCAUCUGUUGCCAGGACACAGCAAGGCCGGCAUCGGACAUUAAGAAUUUGAAUGCUGCAACGUCAUUCCUGAACUGAACUAUGAUACCUUAAACUGUGGUCCUUUGUACAGCCGUUUCAUGCCACAGAAAGGCUGGCUAUAAUGUAUGUACAUGUACAUGUAUGUCACUGAGACUUUCCCCAGUAGAAGGAAAACAAUCAAUGGAACCAAUUUCACUUCAGUUCCAUCUGAGUCAAUCGCACAUGUGACCCGCUCCGGGAAAAAUGAUAAAAAAUGAUGCUUUGCCUUUGUGUGCAUUGGUCCACUCUGACUUAGGGCAGUUUCUCAUGAAAUUUCAAUUUUGUUGGUCAGAAAGAACAUAUUUAAUAGUCUCUAAAGUUUCAUGUUUCAUGAAAAAAAAAAUGUCCAAAGUGCACAUGUUCAUUGCCAGGAAGAUUUCAGGUGAGCCUUCCAAGCCAAAGUCUGUAUUAGAAUCAACUUUUUUUUCAAAGCCUGUUUUCUAUUAAGUUGAACUCCAUAGAACUGCUAUGAGAAAACGUCUGCUGAAUGGAAUGGGCUAUUACCCUGUGCCAUAGACCAAAUGAAAGCUGACACUUUCAUCCGUGCAUAUACGUCUUUUUUUUUUCAUUUUUGCAACAUUAUCUACCUUCUUUUCAGAGCGUGUCACAUGUGGCCGAUUCCGAUGCUUUCACACCCUGUCGCAGUGAUGCCUGUAAAGUUGUUGUUUUUUUUUCUCGUACUCUGAAACCAAGCAUGACGGGUUUGGAGACUUGUCAAGGCCAAAAUGACUCCCACUCCUCCCAUAUCAAUCAAAAUCCAACUAUUUCAAUUUUUCAUCUGAUUCUGAUAGAUUCACAACUGCACGGCACUGACCCUUCUACUUUUACAUUGGUCUCUGAUGCCCCCUCCAACAAAAAAUUCCAUAGGCUAACUGCACGAUAUUGGAUUUGGGUAGAUCGAGCUUAGCAGGUAACCCAAGACAUAUACCAGUAUUAAAGAAGGAAAAUAUUUGACAGUAUACAGUGUGUACAGCUCUGAAGUGACAUUUUUGAAACUGAAAUAUUAAUCAAUUGAACAAACAGAAUUCUUUUGUUAUUAAAAACCGUCUCCUAUUGCCUGUCAUGUGCAUUGUCUGUCUACAUGUACCCAAAAUGGGGCACGUAGUUUACUCAAAACUUGUAAUGAAAAUUUUACUUCACCGGUUGUGAGGUGAAAGGAUCUUGCAUGCCGUUUGGUUAUAUCCCGCAAAUCACAUAAUGGGGACAGGUAGCAGAGGUGUGAGAAUCAGUUUUUUAGCUGAUUUCAGCUUUUUUUUGCGUAGAUGACCCUGAAUGUCAGCUUUUUUGUACACCUGGUCUCUACAAAAGUAUGGGAACGUUUUACAUUUCAGCUGUUUGCUAGCUGCUUUCAGCCACUCACACCCCUGCAGUAGUUUGUUGGUAUCAUUCCACUGAUAAAGCUGCCCAUAGAGUAGGUUUUGGAGUGUCCAAUUAGUAGUGGAAAUUUGUAACAGGUGACGGUGACUCUUCAACAUGUUUUGUAUAGAUCCACUUUUUUUAGUACAUGUAGUUUGAAACUCAGUAAAAAAGAGAAGUGCUUUAUCAACAUAUCAGGUUGUCAUUUAAAGUGUGUUAUACACACUUGUUAUAUGGCCCCUUUGAGUAAGGCAAUUCUUGUGUGUAGGCACAUCUUACGAUUUGAGAUAUUUAGCCCCAAUAAAAAAAAAAAAGCUUGUAUGGACACGCACAACAUAAGGGAUAGUCGUGAGAUUAGUGUAAUGGUCUUCCACAUCAAGGAGAAAUUCCCCCCCCCAUAAAAGAACCCAGACUUUGCUGUGCUUCACCAUACGUUUGUGCAAUUCUGUAUACGUACAUAUAAACCUCCUGUAUUUCUACUUUGUUUUACUUGAAAAAGUCACGCAGAUUUUAUUAUCCCUAAGUCCAAAUCAACAGUCUUGCUAGAUAUGCAUGGAAUUAUGGAAUACGGAGAACGCCUUUGAAAUAUUCACAGCAGGUGCUUUCGCUGCACUUCUGAUUACCAGGAGGGCUGUAGGGCUCCCGCAAACGUGACCAAUACCACGUCAUUCACACUUUUGACCAGGUUUUCAAAAGGGAGUGGUACAGUGUACAUGUCCAGUAAUUGGAACCUGACCUUUUUUAAACAGAUCUUUCGGUAAUGGUAGACGGUAGAUACAUAUAUGUACUGUUUUAGUUUGUGAUGUGAUCAGUUAUAAGUAUUGUUAAAAAAAACCUGAAACUCGACUGCCGUUCAAAAAGCUUGUAGUGGAAAUCCAUGCAACAAAUUUCAAGACCCUCAGAGUUUUUAUUCUUGGAGAAAAAAACACUCCAAAACAAGGAAACUGGUGACGUUUUGCAUUGAUAUUGCUAGCAGUGUCCCUGUUAUCCCUGGCCUGUUUAAUUUGAUGUGGAAAUAUCAAUAAAACCGACUUCAGAUUUUUUUUAUUUGUUAAGCAGGUAAUGUUUUAUACUUAAUCACUCGUAGAAUUUUUUUUUAAAAUGUAUUUUAUACUUACAAGUACGAUGUAACAUGUGACAGGGACAAAAAAAAAUAUAUUGGACCGUAGUUUUUCUCCGUAACAUGACCCAGAUGUUUAUCCAGUUGUUGAAUGUUGCUCGGUGUCACGCCCUUUGGCAUUAAAGUCAACUCACAGAGCACUUUUGCAACAAAAGCUGAUCCUUGUCUUGAUCAAACAGCAAAUAUCGAGGGUUCUCACAUCUACCGUAUCAGGAAGUCUUGCAUGUCUGUUUUUGGGAUAGUCCUUGCAACGAAACCUCAUUUACUGUGCGUACAGACAUUCAUGUGAGGCUUAAUAUGGUGCCAAAAAUAGCCCUACAGCUUCAGGAUAACAAGUGGUUCAUAGACUAGACAGAAAUACAUGUAUAUGUUUAGAUUGGGUAGAAAACCAUAGUUUUCGUUACUGUCAACACAGUGUACGUGUCCCUUGAACCCUAGAACAUGGAGUGAAUUUAUGGAGUAUAGUUACCAGUACAUGUACUUGGCUGAUUUAUAUAUCAGCAAAGGAUGGCCUAGCAUAGAGAAACUCUGUGACAUACUUAUUAUGGAUAAUUGUUUGGACGAGGAUUUGGGGAUCUGUCUUUUUAAUACCCAAGUGUUUGCCUGUCACUCAAGGUGUACAUACUCCAGAAUUCUGAGAUGCCCCUCCCCUUUUUGGAACUGGGUGUCUUGUUCACUUUUCAGAAAUUUUCAAUCUACAUGCAGGUGCAGUGUUCUAGUCUUGGUGCGUAUUCUUUUUAUUAUUCAACAACGUGGGCGGUAGGAGGUUUGCUGGCCUGGUUUCCUUCCUCCAUGCUUUUAUCAAGUGUCUAAAUUGCUGACUGCAGUAUGGUGACACGCUCUACCGAACUCCGUGCAUGAUGGCACAUAGCUGUAGUGCCCGUAUAGUAUCUGUCCCGAUUUGAGGUGCACCGCCAAGUGGAAAGAGGAAGACAGAUGGUUGUAAGCUUUCCAAGCGGGUUCUGGCACGCGUUCUGCAUAUACGCAAAGACCAUACAUUAAGGAAUAAAUUCAUUGCGCGUACUCAGCAUCAAACGCGCCACUGAUCUCCACUAUUAAUGCGCCUAUGCGGCAAGUACCAAAAAUACAGCCCUUUUUGUUCCGCUUGGAGCAGAUAAGUUGGUUCCCUGAAUAAGGAGCCAUUACCGCUGUGGCACAGUGCUCGUGGACCGGUGAUAUGCACACAUUAUGCUUCUUCAACCAAUAGGAUGUCAUGAUUUGCCACAUGCAUGAAAGUGCGUGUCAGGUCUGUGUGCCUGCCACAGCGCCACCGCAGUAAUGGUGUCUCCUCGGAUGAGUCUUUAACGAUUUCCCAGUUACUCUGAUCUGGGGUCAGAGGUUGCCAAUAUACCCUUGUACUGUUUCAAGUUCACUUGAAUGUGACAAAAGUGAAUCUUUUUCAAAAAGGGCAGUCAUUGGGUAGAUCUGGGCCAGCUGUUAACAUCAUUGUGGUAUGCACUUCUCAAAUAAAUGUGGAAUUUAACCCACUUUUUUUUUCUUUUUAGGAAAUCAAUUGUGCUUUGACAUUUUAUUGUAGCACUGCAUUAUUAUGGAGUAGAAUUGAAGUUAAUUUCUCUUAUUGUUUUUUAAUCAUGUAGGGGUUGUGCUCUAAGUUCAGAAUCCAUUGAUGGCUAAAUCGGGUGAUUUAAUAUCAGGGAACGCCAUGUGCUACACUGCCCAGACCUGGUCUGCGCUGAGCUGCCGAGCGGGAAAAACAAUGCAUUGAGAAAUCGCAUGUAAUCAAAUUUAGCAAAUGAGCGGGGAACCAGUUGGGCAAAGUAUGAAAAUCAACUGACAUCUGUUGGUCGGUAACCCAUUAAUGCAACCGUGUGUUGAUGAUGGCACAUUUUGUGUGUGCUUUCCUCUGGUGCGCAGUGGACCGUGGGCCCCCACUGGCUCCAUUGGAAAACUGCACAUAGAAGCAUGGUAGGAUGUCACCAGAACACAGGGUUCCUGCACCUAAAGGAUAAUUAAAUUCUACGACUUUUUCAGGCUGCGGGAACCCCCGAGUACAGAGGUCAUUUGCACUUGCAUUUAUGUACCCUGCUUAACACAACUUGGAGAGGAAAGUGGCAGAGAAGCUGAAUAUGUGUAUAAUUAUGGAGGUAUUUACGAUAGGCAUGAACAUAUUCCAUCUUUGCUGGUUUUUUUGCAUGUACAAACAUUUCUCCUCCAUUUCUCUUUAGUAUAAAAAGGAUUAUUUUCAUUGCUUCAGUUUUGUAUUUUUUGCUACCUUGCUGUAUAAAAAUUUAUGUUAAAGCUCAUUUUAUGCUUUGAGGUUACUGCAAAAACAUUCAACCCAUAAUAAGCCCAAUCCAUAUACAUGAAUCACCCAGGACAGAAAACAUUGUUAUUACCUCGGGAGCUAAAUUUAAUCUUAGCCAAUAAACGAUUUUCCAAAGAAAGAACAA
rnacentral:misc_RNA from 1 species